AGUGAACGCUGGCGGUAGGCCUAAUACAUGCAAGUCGAACGGCAGGACAGUAAGAGUUUGCCUUUACGGGUGGCGAGUGGCGGACGGGUGAGGAAUAGAUCGGAAUCUACUUUUUCGUGGGGGAUAACGUAGGGAAACUUACGCUAAUACCGCAUAUGAACUACGGGAGAAGGCAGGGGAUAUUCGGACUUUGCGUGUUUGAAUGAGCCGAUGUCGGAUUAGCUAGUUGGCGGGGUAAAGGCCCACCAAGGCGACGAUCCGUAGCUGGUCUGAGAGGAUGAUCAGCCACACUGGAACUGAGACACGGUCCAGACUCCUACGGGAGGCAGCAGUAGGGAAUAUUGGACAAUGGGCGCAAGCCUGAUCCAGCCAUACCGCGUGAGUGAAGAAGGCCUUCGGGUUGUAAAGCCCUUUUGUUGGGAAAGAAAAGCAGCAGGUUAAUACCCCGCUGUUCUGACGGUACCCAAAGAAUAAGCACCGGCUAACUUCGUG
rnacentral:rRNA from 1 species